rnacentral:lncRNA from 1 species
AAAAUUAUAAUAAAUAAAUAAAUAAAAUAUAACAGAAAAAAAUCUUGGACUUGGACCUCUCUCUUUUGAGCCCACAAAGUCACAAAAAUCAGGUUAUAAAUUCUAGACUACCAUCUCCCAAAAAACCCUGGGAAAAAGAUAGUGAGAGAAUAGCUAACAGAGUUCAGAGCAACCUCCAGAGACUGAAGGGAACUCAUCUGCAAAGAACCAAUUCCCUCUCAUAUAAACCCUAAGAUUGCUUUCCAAACCCAACGGUGCCAUUCAAU